ACGCGCCCCAAAGCCUGCCACAAUGAGCACGAAUGAAGAUAAAAUCGAGGGGGAAAAGGGGCGCCUGGGUGGCAUUAAAAGCAUAAUUUGCAGAGGGUGAGGGGGGAGGUAAGGCUGGGCUCAAUCUGGUGCAGUAAUGAGCUGUAGAGCCGGGUGUCCUUGGUGGUGCAUUGACCCUGCUGGGGUGUCUUCCUUGGAAAUGGCAAGGACAGGGGUGUGAGCUUUAAGAAGCUUUUCUACCUUCACACUCGGUUAUCUCCGAGAAGCGAGCGAGCCCGGGAGAGAGGCUGAGGUUGGAGCCGGUCUCGGCCACGGCGCGGCGGAGGGAGGAGGACCCCAGGGCGUCUCGACCGGCAGGACUGAGUUGCAGUGAUUGCGCUUGGGGAGUCUCGCAGGAUUUUGAGAUUGCAAGAACAAAGAUGCCCUUUUGAUGCUCUGCUGCAGCACUGGAGAUAAUGAAAGGGAGAGGAGCCUCGAUAAGGAUGAAAGAUAUCUUCCCUCGGCUUCCCCGCGCGGAUAAAGCACUUCCCAGAUGAAGAGGAUUUGGACUAAAAAGCAGCGCAAGAGUAAAACAAAGUAAACAGGGACCAGCGUUGCCGCGUUGACGUGGUCUCCUUCAGCUGGGCUUUGGGGUAAUGCCCCCGGCUGGGGUGGUCUGAGGGCACCCGUGGGAUGCUCGCGCAGCUCUGCUGGGCUGGAGGAGGAGGAGAAGGACAGCAGAUCCU
rnacentral:lncRNA from 1 species